rnacentral:tRNA from 1 species
UCUGCUAUGAGCAAAUCGGUGUAUUAGAUUUAGAAUUUAAAGAGAUAGAGUCAUUCUAUGAGUAGAA